rnacentral:rRNA from 1 species
GCGAAAACUUUACAAUGCUGGCAACAGCGAUAAGGGAACCUCGAGUGCCAGGUUACAAAUCUGGCUGUCGAGAUGCCUAAAAAGCAUUUCAUAGCAAGGGCCGGGCAAGACCGGUGCCAGCCGCCGCGGUAACACCGGCGGCUCGAGUGGUAACCGUUAUUAUUGGGUCUAAAGGGUCUGUAGCCGGCCGGAUAAGUCUCUUGAGAAAUCUGGCAGCUUAACUGUCAGGCUUUCAGGAGAUACUGUCUGGCUCGAGGUCGGGAGAGGUGAGAGGUACUGCAGGGGUAGAGGUGAAAUCUUGUAAUCCUUGAAGGAACACCAGUGGCGAAGGCGUCUCACCAGAACGGACCUGACGGCAAGGGACGAAAGCUAGGGGCACGAACC